rnacentral:misc_RNA from 1 species
GAUGAAGAACGCAGCGAAAUGCGAUAAGUAGUGUGAAUUGCAGAAUUCAGUGAAUCAUCGAAUCUUUGAACGCACAUUGCGCCCUUUGGUAUUCCAAAGGGCAUGCCUGUUCGAGCGUCAUUUGUACCCUCAAGCUUUGCUUGGUGUUGGGCGUCUUGUCUCUAGCUUUGCUGGAGACUCGCCUUAAAGUAAUUGGCAGCCGGCCUACUGGUUUCGGAGCGCAGCACAAGUCGCACUCUCUAUCAGCAAAGGUCUAGCAUCCAUUAAGCCUUUUUUUCAACUUUUGACCUCGGAUCGGGUAGGGAUACCCGCUGAACUUAAGCAUAUCAAUAAGCGGAGGA